AUUGAACGCUGGCGGCAGGCCUAACACCUGCAAGUCGAACGAGUGGCGGACGGGUGAGUAAUGUCUGGGCAACUGCCUGAUGGCGGGGGAUAACUACUGGAAACGGUAGCUAAUACCGCAUACCAUCGGAUGUGCCCAGAUGGGAUUAGCUAGUAGGUGGGGUAACGCCUCACCUAGGCGCCGAUCCCUAGCUGGUCUGAGAGGAUGACCAGCCACACUGGAACUUAGACACGGUCCAGACUCCUACGGGAGGCAGCAGUGGGGAAUAUUGCACAAUGGGCGCAAGCCUGAUGCAGCCAUGCCGCGUGUAUGAAGAAGGCCUUCGGGUUGUAAAGUACUUUCAGCGGGGAGGCGUUACCCGCAGAAGAAGCACCGGCUAAAUAAGUGCCAGCAGCCGCGGUAAUUC
rnacentral:rRNA from 1 species